rnacentral:lncRNA from 1 species
NAUUAGCUAGUUGGUGAGGCAAUAGCUUACCGAGGCAAUGAUUAGUAGCUGGUCCGAGAGGAUGAUCAGUCACAUUAGGACCGAGACAUGACCCAGACUCCUACGGGAGGUAGUAGUGGGGAAUUUUUCACAAUGGACGAAAGCCUGAUGGAGCAACGUCGCGUAGAGGUAGAAGGUCCACGGGUCCUGAACUUCUUUUCCCGAAGAAGAAGCAAUGAUGAUAUCUGGAGGAUAAGCAUCGGCUAACUCUAUGCCAGCAGCUACAAUAAGACAGAGGAUGCAAGUAUUAUCUAAAAUGAUUGGGCGUAAACCAUCUCUAGGUGGCUUUUUAAGUCCACCGUCAAUUCCCAAGGCUCAACCCUGGACUGUGGUGGAAACUACCAAGCUGGAGGUAGGGG